UCCCUCUCAGGGUCGCACCUGGAGAGUUUCCAGGACUCUACCAGUCUUGGCUAUGGGUCAGAGUCAAGCAGAGGUCUACCCAUUCCAUUCCUAGCUUGGCCAGUGGCUAGCGAGUGGAAGGCAAUUUGUUACAAGU
rfam:Ornithorhynchus anatinus chromosome 2, whole genome shotgun sequence.